CAAAGAAAAGUGUGAUUUUCAAGGAAUCAAGUGUUUAAAGGUGGUGAGCUAUCUGAUACGGGUAAAAGACUACACCCGAGGACCGAGAAUAGGAGUAUAUCUACUCCUAGUACAGCUCAGGACAAUUUGUUGAUAGUUGAUUAAGACGAGAA
rnacentral:sRNA from 1 species